UUUCUGAAACCAGAAGAAAUUUUCGGUUAAUUUCUGCUCAGCUCGCAAAUGCUCAAGUUUGACAGCUUCGAAUAAAAAUUACAAGUUGUACGAAAAUGACCUAUAAUGAAAUGUCAAUGUCGAAUUACGUUUGUUGUAUUUACGAUGAAAGAAUUACAAUUAUUCAAGUAUGUAGGUAUAUUAUGGAAGUGAUACUGGAAUUUACGACGUUCAGAAUUUUUCUUAAGUACGUGGAAGUGAUGGCAGAAUUUUUUACGAUGCCAGCAGAAAAUUAUAAUCGAGUUUAGAAUGUAUGUGGGCUGCGUCAUAAUAAUGCCAACAUUCAGUGGUAUAGGAAAUCCGAUUAUUGUUGACGUAGUUAGGUUUGCUGAAUAGCUGAAAGGAUGAAAUCUUAUCAAAGUAAUUGAAUUCGAAUACUGGAAGGAUCGUUUUAAUUGACCUGUUGAAUACCUAUCUCAAUUCUUACGGAAAGUUCGUCUACGUGAUGAGAAUAGCAUAUUAUUUCUGGAAAUGAAGAUUUUUAUUACGAUAUUCUACGUAAUAUUUUUCUAUGUUGACAAGUACCUAUUGCUAUGCUUUUAUUUUAUAUUUUUCUUGUAAAUGUGUAUUGUGUAGCCAUUUUUAUUCGACCAAAGAUAGAUAGGAAGUUCCUCAUUGGCAAUGAUAAGAUCUACAACAAAGAUACUACGAUCAUCGACAGCAAUCCAGUUCGGUCUGCAUUUCAUAUCGACGAGUAUCGUAUACCUCUCUAACUAGGCACCUAUCAAAGUAACCUUGCAAAAAAAAAGUUUUUUUCGCUGUCUGAGUACGCUAACCUGUGCUCAUUGAACCUGCAAUUAUAAAAUUACUACGAUGUAAUACCUAAUGCUUUUUUUCCACUAGGAGAAACUAUAUAACCUAUGGUUAUCGUCUGCGAGUUAUUUAGUCAUAACCAGUUGCAUACACAACGAAGCUACGUUAUUGGUGGAUAGACUCUCGCAGAUUCUUGUUGCAAUUGCAAUGAACUUGUCGACGACGAAGCUGCGAACGAAAAUCAUAUAGGUAUCGGUUUGCAUUGUAGUAUAAUCCGAAAUGUGUCGAGUAAUUAAGUUACACGCUGCGGUUUUUUAAUUAGACGAGGCGUCAUUUAUGAUUUAUGAUCUGACUGCUGCUGGUGUUGCGGAGUUUAAUUUUUUUUAUUAAUUAUCGGAGCUGUUGGUUUAAUUGCCGAAAAUUUAAU